UUCAUUUUCAAAUAUUUAUCAAAUGAACUAAUAAUAUGUUUAAUAGGAGUCUGACACAACACUUGAAGAUUUUAAAACUGAUCAGUGUUCGGUGAUCUUUUAAUUACAAUUUUCCCAAACUAACCAUCUUAUUUAGACAAUUUGUGUAUCACUGAAAAAUGAAAUUGUAUUGCAAUUCAAAAAUUUUUUAUUAAAAUCUAAUAGAAUUAUUUAUGUUGU
rnacentral:lncRNA from 1 species